rnacentral:rRNA from 1 species
AUGGCCGGGGGUAGGAAUACCGAGAAGAAGAACGCGGACGGACGGAGCUGCUCCAUGGCGCCGAGGCAAGGGAGGAAGCGUCCAGCGUCCAUGGCGUCCCGGUGCUCGAGCGAGGAUGGCAUCCCGGAUCUGAGAGGCAGAGACGAUGAACUGAGGAAGUUAGGAAUGGCUUUGAGGAGGAGAUGGACGCACCUGAGUCGUUGGAGCCACACCGACCGAAACCCUAGCGACGGGAACCGGUCGCAGUUGGCGCUGGAGGACGCGCAUGAUGGAUCUCGACGGGGAACGCCAGCCUCCCCAAGCCCCGCCGGUAGAGAGCGCCUGCUCAAUCCAGAGGGAGGGAGUGGGGGUGGGGGCGGUGGCGCCUGCUCGAUCCAGAGGCAGUGA